UCGGUGAUGGAUGGGGAUGCGUCUGAUUAGCUUGUUGGCGGGGUAACGGCCCACCAAGGCAACGAUCAGUAGGGGUUCUGAGAGGAAGGUCCCCCACAUUGGAACUGAGACACGGUCCAAACUCCUACGGGAGGCAGCAGUGAGGAAUAUUGGUCAAUGGACGAGAGUCUGAACCAGCCAAGUAGCGUGCAGGAUGACGGCCCUAUGGGUUGUAAACUGCUUUUAUAAGGGAAUAAAGUGAGUCUCGUGAGACUUUUUGCAUGUACCUUAUGAAUAAGGACCGGCUAAUUCCGUGCCAGCAGCCGCGGUAAUACGGAAGGUCCGGGCGUUAUCCGGAUUUAUUGGGUUUAAAGGGAGCGUAGGCCGGAGAUUAAGCGUGUUGUGAAAUGUAGAUGCUCAACAUCUGCACUGCAGCGCGAACUGGUUUCCUUGAGUACGCACAAAGUGGGCGGAAUUCGUGGUGUAGCGGUGAAAUGCUUAGAUAUCACGAAGAACUCCGAUUGCGAAGGCAGCUCACUGGAGCGCAACUGACGCUGAAGCUCGAAAGUGCGGGUAUCGAACAGGAUUAGAUACCCUGGUAGUCCGCUCGGUAAACGAUGGAUGCCCGCUGUUGGUCUGAAUAGGUCAGCGGCCAAGCGAAAGCAUUAAGCAUCCCACCUGGGGAGUACGCCGGCAACGGUGCAACUCAAAUGUA
rnacentral:rRNA from 1 species